UAAAAUAUUAGUUUCCACUUUUACUUUUUGCUCCCAGGACAACUAUUCCUCUGAACCAAAACAGCUCCUUUAUUUUAUUUUUUCCUUUUUUAUUUUUUUCUGGUUCUGAAAUAACCCAUCCUGAAGACAUAAACAACUUGCCUUGAUGGCUAGCCAAGACUCUGUCCUGCCCCGGACCUCCUCCUACUCUUUCAUUUCUUACCCCAAGGAGCAGUAAACAUGAAUCUUGACCCACCAAUGCAGCCUCAGAACGGAGAAGAGAUACACCACAGCUAAAGAGUAGGUACCAAUAAAAACAAUGCCUCAAUUCGAUGAUAUUAAAUAUGCUGGGAAGACAGUCUCCAAGAGAAAGGAUAAAUAACCUACAUAAUGAAGAAUUAGUUAGCAGUGUUAUGUAAAUAUUGUAGCAGCAUCAAUGAGGAGGUAAGCAGAAGUAUUUUAAGACACUAUAUUAUACAAUACACUGUGCACUGUUUCCUGGUGAUAAGGUUUUUAAAGCAUCUUUAUAAGCUCUUCUUCUCUGUUGUGACAGGAUUAUUUUUGCACCUUUGGAAAGCAACUGAAAAAGGAAGCUUGGAAAAAAUCCUGCCUAACAAAGCAGCCAUACUCAAAACACAGGAAUUCUCUUAUAAGCAUCGUUAUUACGAGUCAUGGAUACUUUCUGGAGCAGCUGAAUCCACCUUGGGUUUCCUUUUUAUGUACCUCGGUUACAUGAGAAAGACCAUUCCCUAUUUUGCGUGUGGAUAAUCAGAGCUGUAGAUGGAGAUUUCUUCUUGCACGGAAGAAAAUCUUAGGUGACAUUUGUGGAAGAGGACGUACAUGUCUCACUACUUGCUAAAUUAGGACAACCACCCAGUCAUCACUCUCCAGUUCUUGGAACUCUCUUCCAAUGGUAGACCUCAAGAUCAUUCAUUUCAACCAUGGCAUAUGAUGUUUAAAAAUCAUCUGUAUAAGAUGCUAACCUACUAGAACUAUUAACUGAAAGAAUCCACACAAACAGCUAUAAUUUAUGCAAUGAAAUAAUGGGAGAGCCCUAAAUCCAACAGCCCAUUUUGCUUAUCUGUGGCUCUGACCCUGACCCUGCGUGCUCUAGCUACUGAGAUGAUGUGGGACACCUGCCACAGCAUGACUUGAUAAGCAGUGCAUAUGUCUGAGCCCAGGAUCUGAACCAGCAAACCCCAGACCACUGAAGCAGAGAGGGCGAACUUAACUGCUACGCCACUGGGCUGGCCUCUCAAUUAAUAUUUUUUGAAUUGAGACUUUAGGAAAAGAAGAGGAUUGCUAUGGGAUUCAAUCCAGUAUAAAAUCUGGAAAGAGAAAUUUAUAAAUCUAAAUUAUAAACUCAAUACAGCAUUUGAGAACCUAUUUUGACUUUUAAACAAUUUUCCUACUACAUUCAUUGUCUGUAUUGAGGAUUUGAUGUUCUGCAGAAAACCCCGCAGUACAUAGCUGUAUAUUCUCGUUUUGGCAAAGGUGACCAAGAAAAAUAUGAAACAAUCCCCUGGAUCAGAGGGGAUGAUUUUUUCACACUACUCUGCCCAACAAUUUGAAAAUCUGCUGAGUCCUUUUCCUUCAAUGGUUCUGUUUGGGGAGUGAAUUCCCUCUGCUGUAGAAAGAACUGAGGCUGAGAAAAGUUAACUGAUUUUCCAAGGUUUACAGGAGAAGAAGGAAAGCCCAAGAAACUGCUUCAGCAACCGAAUAUCCACGCCUUGAGGAUUUCUCUGUGUGUCCCCCAGAAAGUUUUAGUUGUUCUGUCAGAGGCAAGGGUUCAUUGCUCCCUUUUCUAGUCACUCUGCUGUUGCAUUUAUUUUUCUGAUUUUAUUUGAGUCCACUUCUUGCUUUUCUAUUUUUACCUCCUGGCUUCUGCUUACUCUUGAUAUCUACUUUCUCAUAGUUCUUGCUUAUUUAUUUGUUUCUGUGAGUCUCUUAGAUUCCUUUACUCUUUGGUCCUUCUCUACUUGGAUUGGAUAGUAGUUGUCAAUUUUAGUAUGACCUUGUAAGUUCAGAACACUCAAAUCAAGACACCAUUCUGGUAUUUCAUGCAGCAGGAGACAAUGAGUGUGGACAAAACUCAGAAUCAUGGUUAGCUCUCCAGAAACUCCAUUCUGAAGUUCAUUAUUAAUCAUUCUCAGAUGUACUCAGAUAUAUUCUGACUUUAAAAUAUUAUAACUGAGUAUCUAGUUUGUGACAGGAAGGGUAGGAAGGAAAAAGACCCUUCACACAGGUGAAAUUCUGAAGCCACAACAUUACCUUUCUUCUGCUUUGCUUGCUGUCUGACCACUUACACAGAGGCCUUGAAUGGUAUUUGAAUGUAUAUCAUUUAAAUGAAUGUGCACAAUUUGUUGAAGUCAAUAAAUAAUUAAUAUGGUAUACUGUCUAUUAAAAUUUAUUUUAAAUCUCUCA
rnacentral:lncRNA from 1 species